UUUAUUAUCCAUACAUUUAAUAGCUUUACUGUUUUUCUGUACAAGUAUUUCGAUAAUGAGAAGCUCCAGAAUAGUUAUAGUCCGUAGCACUGUUGUCUUUGGUUGCAAGCCCAAGAAAGGCUGGGCAGGCGUGAAUAUAGCCAACGUUAUCAAGUUCAUUAGAACUAUAGAUGGAUCCAUUAAAUGAAAAUACAGCUUAAAAAAUGCACACAAAUUUCCAUUAUGUCCCAAGUUGAAAAACAAUUUCUUUGCUUAAAAAAUCAAAAUCGUAAUUUUAUGGCCACAUUGCCCCACUGUGGCACAGCAUUGGGGACAGGACGUUGGGUAAACAACUUCAUUCAGUUUCAGUUCACAUUAAUGCAUCGUGAAUUAAGUGUCAAGGACAUUUUUUGGUUUUCGCAAACCAGCAGGACGGAACACAGCAGAACGCUGUAUGCAACAUGUGUCCAGUGUCUCUCUGCACGUCCUUGCCUCCCAGUGUGUGUGUAUCUCUGUGUCUCUGCGUGUGUGUCUGUGUUUUGGGUGACCGAAAAUGCGUUGCAACAUUCAAAACUCGCUCCACACACUCCACAGAUGAAAGGACAUUCGGACUUUGGACUUCAUCAUCAUCAUCAUGCUGCUGGUGGGGCACAAACACACGCUUGGUGUGGCAGGCAGGCAUCAGAGGCAGUUAUGCCUGUCAAGAUGAAUGCCAUAUCAUCGCCGCACCGAAAAUGGUGUCAAAACGUCACCAACGGCAGUUCCCU